ensembl:snoRNA SNORA70 Small nucleolar RNA SNORA70
GAACAGUGACUAAACAUGCAGUAAUUGCAAACAGCAGCCUCCUUGGUAGAGCAGGCGGCCUGUUGCCUAAGGGAUCUUGGAGACAGUC